CCUACGGGAGGCUGCAGUAGGGAAUAUUGCUCAAUGGGGGAAACCCUGAAGCAGCAACGCCGCGUGGAGGAUGAAGGUUUUAGGAUUGUAAACUCCUUUUGUGAGAGAAGAUAAUGACGGUAUCUCACGAAAAAGCAUCGGCUAACUCCGUGCCAGCAGCCGCGGUAAUACGGAGGAUGCGAGCGUUAUCCGGAUUUAUUGGGUUUAACGGGUGCGCAGGCGGACUGUAAAGUCAGCGGUCAAACCCUGGGGCUAAACCCCGGCCCGCCGUUGAAACUGGCAGUCUCGAGUUGGAGAGAAGUAUGCGGAAUGCGCGGUGUAGCGGUAAAAUGCAUAGAUAUCGCGCAGAACUCCGAUUGCGAAGGCAGCAUGCCGGCUCCACACUGACGCUGAGGCACGAAAGCGUGGGUAUCGAACAGGAUUAGAUACCCGAGUAGUC
rnacentral:rRNA from 1 species